rnacentral:rRNA from 1 species
GAUCCUGGCUCAGGAUGAACGCUGGCGGCGUGCUUAACACAUGCAAGUCGAACGGACGGUGAAGAGCUUGCUCUUCAGAGUUAGUGGCGGACGGGUGAGUAACGCGUGGGUAACCUGCCUCAUACAGGGGGAUAGCAGCUGGAAACGGCUGAUAAAACCGCAUAAGCGCACAGCAUCGCAUGAUGCAGUGUGAAAAACUCCGGUGGUAUGAGAUGGACCCGCGU